GACGAACGCUGGCGGCGUGCCUAAUACAUGCAAGUAGAACGCUGAAGAGAGGAGCUUGCUCUUCUUGGAUGAGUUGCGAACGGGUGAGUAACGCGUAGGUAACCUGCCUUGUAGCGGGGGAUAACUAUUGGAAACGAUAGCUAAUACCGCAUAACAAUGGAUGACACAUGUCAUUUAUUUGAAAGGGGCAAUUGCUCCACUACAAGAUGGACCUGCGUUGUAUUAGCUAGUAGGUGAGGUAAUGGCUCACCUAGGCGACGCUACAUAGCCGACCUGAGAGGGUGAGCGGCCACACUGGGACUGAGACACGGCCCAUACUCCUACGGGAGGCAGCAGUAGGGAAUCUUCGGCAAUGGGGGCAACCCUGACCGAGCAACGCCGCGUGAGUGAAGAAGGUUGUCGGACCGUAAAGCUCUGUUGUAGGUCAAGAACGGGUGUGAGAGUGGAAAGUUCACACUGUGACGGUAGCUUACCAGAAAGGGACGGCUAACUACGUG
rnacentral:rRNA from 1 species